GAUGAACGCUAGCGGCAGGCCUAACACAUGCAAGUCGAGGGGUAGAGGAGGCUUGCUUCCUUGAGACCGGCGCACGGGUGCGUAACGCGUAUGCAAUCUACCUUGUACAGAGGGAUAGCCCAGAGAAAUUUGGAUUAAUACCUCAUAGUAUAAUUGAAUCGCAUGAUUUAAUUAUUAAAGUUCCAACGGUACAAGAUGAGCAUGCGUCCCAUUAGCUAGUUGGUAUGGUAACGGCAUACCAAGGCAAUGAUGGGUAGGGGUCCUGAGAGGGAGAUCCCCCACACUGGUACUGAGACACGGACCAGACUCCUACGGGAGGCAGCAGUGAGGAAUAUUGGACAAUGGGGGCAACCCUGAUCCAGCCAUGCCGCGUGCAGGAAGACGGUCCUAUGGAUUGUAAACUGCUUUUAUACAGGAAGAAACGCAAUUACGUGUAAUUGUUUGACGGUACUGUAAGAAUAAGGAUCGGCUAACUCCGUGCCAG
rnacentral:rRNA from 1 species